rnacentral:rRNA from 1 species
GAUGAACGCUGGCGGCGUGCCUAAUACAUGCAAGUCGAGCGAACAGACGCGGAGCUUGUUCCUUUGACGUUAGCGGAGGACGGGUGAGUCACACGUGGAAACCCUCCCUAUAUGACUGGGAACAUUUCGGGACACCGGCGCUAAUCCCGGAUAAUCUACUGCACCGUAUGGUUGGAUAGUGAAAGACGGUUUUGCUGUCUGUUAUCGAUGGUUCCGCGCUGCAUUAGCUAGUUGGUAAGGUAAAGGGUUACCAAGGCAACGAUGCGUAACCGAGCUGCGAGGGUGAUCGGCCACACUGGAACUGAGACACGGUCCAGACUCCUACGGGAGGCAGCAGUAGGGAAUCUUCGGCAAUGGGCGAAAGCCUGACAGAGCAACCCCGCGUGAGUGAUGAAGGUCUUCGGUUCGUAAAACUCUGUUAUUAGGGAAGAACAAAUGUGUAAUUAACUAUGGACGGCGUGACGGUACCUAAUCAGAAAGCCACGGCUAACUACGUG